AAGUCGUAACAAGGUUUCCGUAGGUGAACCUGCGGAAGGAUCAUUAUAAAAUUUUCAUAUAUUAUAAAAUUCAUUUAAUAUAUAAAAUUAUAUAUACAAAAUGUAUUCAAAACCCACACUCUUUAUAACCAUAAAAAAAUUUAUAUUAUUAUUUAUAAUAUAAAAAAAAAACAACUUUCAACAACGGAUCUCUUGGCUCUC
rnacentral:misc_RNA from 1 species